ACGAACGCUGGCGGCGUGCCUAACACAUGCAAGUCGAGCGAGGAGAUCCUUCGGGAUGAUCCUAGCGGCGGACGGGUGAGUAACACGUGGGCAACCUGCCUCAUAGAGAGGAAUAGCCUUCCGAAAGGGAGAUUAAUACCUCAUAACAUUGCAGUUUCGCAUGGAACAGCAAUUAAAGGAGCAAUCCGCUAUGAGAUGGGCCCGCGGCGCAUUAGCUAGUUGGUGAGGUAACGGCUCACCAAGGCGACGAUGCGUAGCCGACCUGAGAGGGUGAUCGGCCACAUUGGGACUGAGACACGGCCCAGACUCCUACGGGAGGCAGCAGUGGGGAAUAUUGCACAAUGGGGGAAACCCUGAUGCAGCCAACGCCGCGUGAGUGAUGACGGCCUUCGGGUUGUAAAGCUCUGUCUUCAGGGACGAUAAUGACGGUACCUGAGGAGGAAGCCACGGCUAACUACGUGCCAGCAGCAGC
rnacentral:rRNA from 1 species